AGUCUUGAGGUGUUUUACACGUUGGAUUGCAAAUCCUAAAUAGCAGAGUAGUUUCUGCCGGGGCUU
rnacentral:tRNA from 1 species